rnacentral:rRNA from 1 species
AUUGAACGCUGGCGGCAGGCCUAACACAUGCAAGUCGAGCGAGCGGCGGACGGGUGAGUAAUGUCUGGGAAACUGCCUGAUGGAGGGGGGUAACUACUGGAAACGGUAGCUCAUACCGCAUACCAUCAGAUGUGCCCCGAUGGGAUUAGCGGGUAGGUGGGGUAAAGGCUCACCUAGGCGACGAUCCCUAGCUGGUCUGAGAGGAUGACCAGCCACACUGGAACUGAGACACGGUCCAGACUCCGACGGGAGGCAGCAGUGGGGAAUAUUGCACAAUGGGCGCAAGCCUGAUGCAGCCAUGCCGCGUGUGUGAAGAAGGCCUUCGGGUUGUAAAGCACUUGCAGCGGGGAGGCGUUACCCGCAGAAGAAGCACCGGCUAACUCCGUGCCAGCAGCCGCGGUAAUUC